GAGUUUGAUCGUGGCUCAGAUUGAACGCUGGCGGCAGGCCUAACACAUGCAAGUCGAGCGGUAGAGAGAAGCUUGCUUCUCUUGAGAGCGGCGGACGGGUGAGUAAUGCCUAGGAAUCUGCCUGGUAGUGGGGGAUAACGCUCGGAAACGGACGCUAAUACCGCAUACGUCCUACGGGAGAAAGCAGGGGACCUUCGGGCCUUGCGCUAUCAGAUGAGCCUAGGUCGGAUUAGCUAGUUGGUGAGGUAAUGGCUCACCAAGGCGACGAUCCGUAACUGGUCUGAGAGGAUGAUCAGUCACACUGGAACUGAGACACGGUCCAGACUCCUACGGGAGGCAGCAGUGGGGAAUAUUGGACAAUGGGCGAAAGCCUGAUCCAGCCAUGCCGCGUGUGUGAAGAAGGUCUUCGGAUUGUAAAGCACUUUAAGUUGGGAGGAAGGGCAGUAAAUUAAUAACUUUGCUGUUUUGACGUUUACCGACAGAAUAAGCACCGGCUAACUCUGUGCCAGCCGCC
rnacentral:rRNA from 1 species